rnacentral:rRNA from 1 species
CGACGUAAAGAACUUGCCUCACAGAUAGGGACAACAUUUGGAAACGAAUGCUAAUACCUGAUAUUAUGAUUUUAGGGCAUCCUAGGAUUAUGAAAGCUAUAUGCGCUGUGAGAGAGCUUUGCGUCCCAUUAGCUAGUUGGAGAGGUAACGGCUCACCAAGGCGAUGAUGGGUAGCCGGCCUGAGAGGGUGAUCGGCCACGAGGGGACUGAGACACGGCCCUU